UGCAGUCGAGCGACAGACAGGAGCUUGCUUCCUUUGACGUUAGCGGCGGACGGGUGAGUAACACGUGGGUAACCUACCUAUAAGACUGGGAUAACUUCGGGAAACCGGAGCUAAUACCGGAUAAUAUUUCGAACCGCAUGGUUCGAUAGUGAAAGAUGGUUUUGCUAUCACUUAUAGAUGGACCCGCGCCGUAUUAGCUAGUUGGUAAGGUAACGGCUUACCAAGGCGACGAUACGUAGCCGACCUGAGAGGGUGAUCGGCCACACUGGAACUGAGACACGGUCCAGACUCCUACGGGAGGCAGCAGUAGGGAAUCUUCCGCAAUGGGCGAAAGCCUGACGGAGCAACGCCGCGUGAGUGAUGAAGGUCUUCGGAUCGUAAAACUCUGUUAUUAGGGAAGAACAUACGUGUAAGUAACUAUGCACGUCUUGACGGUACCUAAUCAGAAAGCCACGGCUAACUACGUGCCA
rnacentral:rRNA from 1 species